rnacentral:rRNA from 1 species
GGCAACGAUGCGUAGCCGACCUGAGAGGGUGAUCGGCCACACUGGGACUGAGACACGGCCCAGACUCCUACGGGAGGCAGCAGUGGGGAAUAUUGGGCAAUGGGGGAAACCCUGACCCAGCAACGCCGCGUGAAGGAAGAAGGUCUUCGGAUUGUAAACUUCUUUGAUCAGGGACGAAGAAAUGACUGUACCUGAAGAACAAGUCACGGCUAACUACGUGCCAGCAGCCGCGGUAAUACGUAGGUGGCAAGCGUUAUCCGGAUUUACUGGGUGUAAAGGGCGUGUAGGCGGGUCUGUAAGUCAGAUGUGAAAUCUCCGGGCUUAACUCGGAAGGGUCAUCUGAAACUACGGAUCUUGAGUACUGGAGAGGAUAGUGGAAUUCCUAGUGUAGCGGUAAAAUGCGUAGAUAUUAGGAGGAACACCAGUGGCGAAGGCGGCUAUCUGGACAGUAACUGACGCUGAGGCGCGAAAGCGUGGGGAGCAAACAGGAUUAGAUACCC